GCUGAAUACUGUAUUCUUUCUGACAGCAAACUACACAGCCAGACACCAUGCAAAAGUACAGUCUUCCCUUUCAAAUGGUUGUGGUGUACUUUUUUCCCCAUAACACAUUAUUAAAGGUGAAUACAAAU
rnacentral:snoRNA from 1 species